GUGCUUGCUUCGGCAGCACAUAUACUAAAAUUGGAACGAUACAGAGAAGAUUAGCACAGCUCCUGCGCGAGGAUGACACGCAAAUUAGUGAAGUGUUCCAUAUUUUU